CAUUUACAAAAAGUUUUUGUUUAUUUCGCAAACAAAUUUAUCAUUCUAACUGUCGAUUUAACUAAACGAAAGUGUCCAAAAAAUAUUUUCGGUCGUUACUCUAAAAAUGUGAACUCGUGUUUGCUAAAAGUGUAAUAUCAAAUUCUUGCUUUAAAGACGGAAAAAGUCAGUAUAUUUUCAAGAAUAUCGCAUAAAAUUUUGAUCUAUUUCAAUUUUUUAAGUGCAUCUUCUUAGUUUUACUAAAUUUCUCUCCGUAUAACUCAUUUUUUUAACUAGCCUAAUUAUAAUUUUAUAGGUUAAAAUUUUGUUCUUUUUGCCAUAUACACUACGUUUGUGAAAGCCGGGCACGUGCAUUAUUUAGUCCUACGGAUAUUUUAUAUUUGUAAUAAUUUUUCGAGUAAAUGCACUCUUUCUUUCGCGUUCUUUCGUUAAAUAGUACUUUAUAUUAUGUAUUUUAUUAGGCGGUCGUGUGUUGUGAGUGUUUUUAACAGGGAAGUGUUUUGAGUGCAGCUUCUUGGGAAAAAAAUCGGGCACAGAAAAGCGCAAUUCAUUGCAGUCUAGAGAAUGAUGAAGGGCAAAGAUGUCUUCAGCAAGAUAGACCAUAAAGAGGAGUUUUAAAAGAGGGCUGAGAACGCUUCGACGUCGGAUUUCGAAAUCGAUAAACCUGACUAAAUGGAAUAAAAAAUCCGCUGUCAUUGAGAAUACUUGUAAGUGAAUUUGAUUAAAUUUUUUUUUGUUUACAAAUGAAAAAAGUUUUAAUAAGAAGACGAGAAUCUUUUAAAAUA